GAUACAUGAGGAUCAGAGCACUGAGAACUAUGAGAUGCCACUUCACAGCUUCCGCAAGGCAUCAGCGGAUACAUAGACUGUGAGAAGAGGCAACAUGUGUGAUCCCUCACUCCGACAACCUAAGCCCUAGAUGAGUUGUUCCAACUAUUUGUUUCUUAUAAACCAGGUUACUUGCACUGAUAAAUGGAGAUUGCGCAAGUCAUCUAUCAAGAUUCUAAUCUGCCUACAUUUUUUGGUCUUCUUUUGUAAAGACUGAGCCAAUAUGCCAUCUUCAAGUCAGGAUCAUUCUUGAGAGUAAUUAUGGGAAGUUGCAAAAAGUCGGCUGGGAAGAGUAGCCGAAGUGAUAAAAGGUGGGACUUACUGCAGCGGAAAAAAUAUGUUUAUCUCUAUUUUUGGAUAAGAGUGAGCAUGGUUAGUAUUUCAGAUAUACAUUCACUAAAGUAGAUGGAAUUUCCAGAUCAAACAUGGGUGAAGGAUCCUAAUGUCAUUGCUCUUGUGGAUUUCAUUAACUCAAUUUUACCAACAUCAAAAUUAUUCUCUUUAUA